UACGUAGGGUGCGAGCGUUAAUCGGAAUUACUGGGCGUAAAGUGUGCGCAGGCGGCCGAGCAAGUCGAGUGUGAAAGCCCCGAGCUUAACUUGGGAACUGCGCUCGAAACUACUUGGCUAGAGUGUGGCAGAGGGAGGUGGAAUUCCACGUGUAGCGGUGAAAUGCAUAGAGAUGUGGAGGAACACCGAUGGCGAAGGCAGCCUCCUGGGCCAACACUGACGCUCAUGCACGAAAGCGUGGGGAGCAAACAGG
rnacentral:rRNA from 1 species